rnacentral:rRNA from 1 species
GACGAACGCUGGCGGCGUGCCUAAUACAUGCAAGUAGAACGCUGAAGGAGGAGCUUGCUUCUCUGGAUGAGUUGCGAACGGGUGAGUAACGCGUAGGUAACCUGCCUGGUAGCGGGGGAUAACUAUUGGAAACGAUAGCUAAUACCGCAUAAGAGUAGAUGUUGCAUGACAUUUGCUUAAAAGGUGCAAUUGCAUCACUACCAGAUGGACCUGCGUUGUAUUAGCUAGUUGGUGGGGUAACGGCUCACCAAGGCGACGAUACAUAGCCGACCUGAAAGGGUGGACGGACAACAUUGGACUGGAGACAGGGCCAGAAUUCAACGGGAGGCAGGAGUAAGGGAUCGUCGGCAAUGGACGGAAGUCUGACCGAACAAAGCCUGGUGAGUGAAGGAGGGUUUCGGAACGGAAAAAUCUGUUGUAAGGGAAGAACGAGUGGGAGAGUGGAAAGUGCACACUGUGACGGUAUCUUACCAGAAAGGGACGGCUAACUACGUG